UACGUAGGCCGCAAGCGUUGUUCGGAGUUACUGGGCGUAAAGGGUGCGUAGGUGGCUCUAUAAGUAUGGUGUGAAAUCUCCCGGCUUAACUGGGAGGGUGCGCCGUAGACUGUGGGGCUAGAGUGUGGGAGAGGAAAGUGGAAUUCCUGGUGUAGCGGUGAAAUGCGUAGAUAUCAGGAGGAACACCGGUGGUGUAAACGGCUUUCUGGACCAUAACUGACACUGAGGCACGAAAGCGUGGGUAGCAAACAGG
rnacentral:rRNA from 1 species